rnacentral:rRNA from 1 species
AGCGAACGCUGGCGGCAGGCCUAACACAUGCAAGUCGAACGAACCUUUCGGGGUUAGUGGCGGACGGGUGAGUAACACGUUGGAACGUGCCUUUAUGUUCGGAAUAACUCAGGGAAACUUGUGCUAAUACCGAAUGUGCCCUUCGGGGGAAAGAUUUAUCGCCUUUAGGGCGGCCCGCGUCUGAUUAGCUAGUUGGUUGAGGUAUUGGCUCACCAAGGCGACGAUCAGUAGCUGGUCUGAGAGGAUGAUCAGCCACAUUGGGACUGAGACACGGCCCAAACUCCUACGGGAGGCAGCAGUGGGGAAUCUUGCGCAAUGGGCGAAAGCCUGACGCAGCCAUGCCGCGUGAAUGAUGAAGGUCUUAGGAUUGUAAAAUUCUUUCACCGGGGACGAUAAUGACGGUACCCGGAGAAGAAGCCCCGGCUAACUUCGUG